rnacentral:rRNA from 1 species
UACGAAGGGGGCUAGCGUUGUUCGGAAUUACUGGGCGUAAAGCGCGCGCAGGCGGUCCUUUAAGUCAGGGGUGAAAGCCCAGAGCUCAACUCUGGAACUGCCUUUGAAACUAGAGGACUUGGGUACGGGAGAGGUGAGUGGAAUUCCGAGUGUAGAGGUGAAAUGAUGUAGAGAUCGGGAGGAACACCGGUGGCGAAGGCGGGUCUCUGGGCAUUCCCUGACGCUGAGGCGCGAAAGCGUGGGGAGCAAACGGG